rnacentral:lncRNA from 1 species
AUUGAGUAGUACAAAGUCCGGGGUAGCUAAUUGAGUAAUUGUUCACCCUUUGAUUUCCUAUUGAGUAGUACAAAGUCCGGGGGACUUUUCACGUAUAUUAAGAGAGGAAUAAAAUGACAAAAUUGUCCAUAAUAAUGUCAUUAAAUAUGGAGAUAGAAUUUGAAUAAGAAAAUUAUGAGAUAUUUAAUGCUACGGGCAUAAUAGGAAAAAAUGUGUAAAAGUUUGGUUAUUAAAAGAAAGUGGGCAUUUAACAUUGAACCCAAAAUAGUAAUAACGACUUUUAUCUUGGGACAGAGAGAGUACUAUUUUUUGGGUACUGCUGGAGCUUCCCGUCACAAAAACUUGUAGCCAUCAUUAAUCAAACACCAAACUAAAUUAAUUCAGUGAAGUUUAUUGUGUUUGUUUUUUCAAAAUUUAGUCAAGCUAAUUAUACUUUUAUUGGACCGUACACUAAAUAUAUAUUCAUACAAAGACACCCGACAUACAUAAGCAACACACUUGGAGGAACCCAUUAAAAGAAGAAUGUUGAUGGGAAAAGUGUUGGAAUGCUUGUCUGAAAGGAGGCUUCUUGUCUGAAAUAAGAAAAUAAACAUGCAUAUUUUAUGAAUCUUAUCAUUUAACAAAACAUCACAUAACAAAAAUGACUUGAUAUAUAAGCUCUAGAAAUGAACCUUAGAGAAGUCUUGUAUCUACACACUUGAGAGCUUCCCGUUGAUUCAAUACGUUUAGUCUGUUCGUUCCAAGGUCUGACAGUGUUUUCUGUUUUCUCUACAUUGACAGCAUCAUCCUCAGUAAUUGUGAAGAGCGAUGGCCGCCACUGUGCUGGUGGUGCCGCCUUUCUACCACCAACCUUCCCCGAGCCUCGGUAACAUUUCUUCCCAUUGCAAGACAUUUGCUCAAGGCUGCUAAACCUCCAGCAGUCCAAGUAGUAGGUGUUGUCACCACAGGCGCAACAGGGCCAAAGCAAGAUACAAGAUUCAAUAAUAAC